GGCUUGAUGGUGUAGUGGUAACACAUCCAUCUCAAUUAUUGCUAUUCCAGCUAGGUUUCAUGGGAAGUCCCUUGUUCGAACCAAGGUCAGGCCA